rnacentral:lncRNA from 1 species
GUCACCAAGAAGGAGAGUCACCAAGAAGACUCUGGAGAAAUACAAAGAUCCGUCCUGCCCAUCAAACUGGAAAUCGUUUUCCUGAAAGAACCCCUUGUGUGAUGAAGACAAAAUAAAAAAUAAUGAUGUUCAGUUCCAUGGAGCUUUCUGCCUGAAAACAUAAAAGGGAAUCCACCAGCAGAGUGGGAAACUGCCCACGGUUUUCAUAUCUUCAGGGGCCCUGGAACAUAUCACUCCUCCAUGUAGGCAGCCUACAUUUUACCAUAGGAGAGAACACCCUAAAAAGGCUUCUGAAAUAUGGCGUUUGCGUAUGGUAGAUUUGCUUGUUUCUCUGCAGCAUCAAUUGCUAGUGGCACAUUUUGUACUAGAAAGGCCAUUGUGCCCAGAACGGAAAACGACUGUGAACCACCUAGUGAUUUGCAUUCUGCUUUUGGGGAUAAUCGGACCCCCCUACCGGCCAAAAUCCACAUCACAUUUGCAUAAUUCACUUUUGAAACGCUGUGUUUCAUUCUCUUGAGCCCACAGCUGCUGUGCGGGGAACUGGCGUGGUCCACAUCCAGCUUCAGAUUCUCUCCUACAUAAUCCCCAAAGCAGAGAAGUUUUGCACGCAGUGAAGCAAGGGGACGCUGAUGUUCAACAGGGACAGACUUUCUGUCUUAUGCUUAGGUGUGACCUACCAGAAAGCAACCAAAGAAAGAGUCAAUGAUCCUAGCUGGGAUGGCAAAAAGAAGUAAGAAUUGAAUUUGGAUUACAAAUGGUCGACAAAAAUAAUGUUCUUACCAAAAAAACAAAAAACGAG